AAGGGUUUAGCUUAAUUAAAGUGUCUGUUUUGCAUGCAGGAGAUGUAGUGAGAGUUCUGCAGCCCUUA
rnacentral:tRNA from 1 species